AUUGAACGCUGGCGGCAGGCCUAACACAUGCAAGUCGAGCGGGGUUUUCGGACCUAGCGGCGGACGGGUGAGUAAUGCGUAGGAAGCUACCCGAUAGAGGGGGAUACCAGUUGGAAACGACUGUUAAUACCGCAUAAUGUCUACGGACCAAAGUGUGGGACCUUCGGGCCACAUGCUAUCGGAUGCGCCUACGUGGGAUUAGCUAGUUGGUGAGGUAAUGGCUCACCAAGGCGACGAUCCCUGGCUGGUUUGAGAGGAUGAUCAGCCACACUGGAACUGGGACACGGUACAGCCUCCUACGGGAGGCAGCAGUGGGGAAUAUUGGACAAUGGGCGCAAGCCUGAUCCAGCCAUGCCGCGUGUGUGAAGAAGGCCUUCGGGUUGUAAAGCACUUUCAGUAGGGAGGAAGGGUUAAGUGUUAAUAGUACUUAACUUUGACGUUACCUACAGAAGAAGCACCGGCUAACUCUGUGCCAGCCGCCGCGGUAACAC
rnacentral:rRNA from 1 species